AAAGAAGUUUAAAAGGUAACGGCGUAAAGACUGUCGCUAAAGGAAUGGACCUGCGAUGCAUUAGCUAGUUGGUAAGGUAACGGGCGUUUACCAAGGCGAUGAUGCAUAGCCCGAGUUGAGAGACUGAUCGGCCACAUUGGGGACUGAGACACGGGCCCAAACUCCUACGGGAGGCAGCAGUAGGGAAUCUUCCACAAUGGACGAAAGUCUGAUGGAGCAAACGCCGCGUGAGUGAAGAAGGUUUUCGGAUCGUAAAGCUCUGUUGUUGGUGAAGAAGGAUAGAGGUAGUAACUGGCCCUUUAUUUGACGGUAAUCAACCAGAAAGUCACGGGCUAACUACGUGCCAGCAGCCGCGGUAAAU
rnacentral:rRNA from 1 species